rnacentral:rRNA from 1 species
UGGAGAGUUUGAUCCUGGCUCAGAUUGAACGCUGGCGGCAGGCCUAACACAUGCAAGUCGAGCGGCAGCGGAAAGUAGCUUGCUACUUUGCCGGCGAGCGGCGGACGGGUGAGUAAUGUCUGGGAAACUGCCUGAUGGAGGGGGAUAACUACUGGAAACGGUAGCUAAUACCGCAUAAYGUCGCAAGACCAAAGAGGGGGACCUUCGGGCCUCUUGCCAUCAGAUGUGCCCAGAUGGGAUUAGCUAGUAGGUGGGGUAACGGCUCACCUAGGCGACGAUCCCUAGCUGGUCUGAGAGGAUGACCAGCCACACUGGAACUGAGACACGGUCCAGACUCCUACGGGAGGCAGCAGUGGGGAAUAUUGCACAAUGGGCGCAAGCCUGAUGCAGCCAUGCCGCGUGUAUGAAGAAGGCCUUCGGGUUGUAAAGUACUUUCAGCGGGGAGGAAGGYGDUGAGGUUAAUAACCUCAGCAAUUGACGUUACCCGCAGAAGAAGCACCGGCUAACUCCGUGCCAGCAGCCGCGGUA